UACGGAGGGAGCUAGCGUUGUUCGGAAUUACUGGGCGUAAAGCGCACGUAGGCGGCUUUGUAAGUUAGAGGUGAUAGCCUGGAGCUCAACUCCAGAAUUGCCUUUAAGACUGCAUCGCUUGAAUCCAGGAGAGGUGAGUGGAAUUCCGAGUGUAGAGGUGAAAUUCGUAGAUAUUCGGAAGAACACCAGUGGCGAAGGCGUCUCACUGGACUGGUAUUGACGCUGAGGUGCGAAAGCGUGGGGAGCAAACAGGAUUAGAUACCUGGUAGUCA
rnacentral:rRNA from 1 species